ACUUGGAUGAGUCUUUUGGCGAGAUAAGGCCUGCUCACAACGCUGUCUAGGUCUCAAAGGGAAUGAGACAGUUUCGAAUCUCCUUGGCUCAACGACUCGCGUCGGCUGCGCCGGCCGCCCCACGGCCAGAGGAGGGUUGACCACCAUCGCGGCUGGUUGUUGACUGCGUUUCCGAAUGACAGCGUUCGGGUGUGACCUCUGGUCGCAUAACUGAUUGUUUCCUUUGUCACGUGUCACUGUUGUGUGUUGUGCUGCGAGUGCAGUGCCGAGGGAACAGUGGCGAGACGAUGUGUAGCGCGGCUGACGGUGAUUGUGGUCUGUUCACGGGGGCAGCAGGCUUCCACGGGGGGAGUGUGUGACCACGGCGAAGUGCGAGGACCGCCAACGACGCUGACGCAAAUUGAGCCCGCUGCGAGGUGUGAUGCGGUACAGGCUGGGGAAGCCGUGGGUGUGUGAGCUUCUGUCACCACUAAGGGAUGUGCAGUUCCUUGAUGAUGACCCUGAAACAGUGCAGCAGAAGAUGGACAGUUUGUGCAACACUGAAGCAGGAUACACCAAAACUCCCUUGUGGAGGCUCCUUGUGACCCCAGCUUCCAAGAGCAAGGUUCCAACACCAAAAGUAGGCAGCAGGACCCAUGCUGUUAAGCGUAGCCACAGCCAAGACUAGAUAGGUGAGUAGGAAGUUGGAGUCACUUGGUCUGAUGGUACAGGUAACUCUCGAUUUACACGAGUAUUGCGUCUUUGAAGAGGUCGCGUAAAUCAAAAACAAUGUAAAUCAAACAAGAGGUAGGUUUGUACCUUUUAAUGCCUACUGUAUCACUCUGACUCCUCUCCCUCUCGUGGUUCCUCCUGGUUCCUCCUCUGGCUGCCCUUCCCCUCGUGGUAGCACAGCAGCGAGGGUGUUGUUGUUGUUGUUGAGUAGCGUGGCAGUGUGGGUACUGUACUGUUCAAGUGGCGCGCGGGAAGAACUGAGCUCAGCUGUGUGGCCGCAGUGCCAUGUGAGUCCAGUUGUGCAAGACAUCUGGUGCCCACUUCAUAAAAUAUCGCGUAUAAGUGAAAAAACUUGUAAAUUAAACAUUUAUUUGGAUUUUGGACCCAGUGUUAUUUAAAAAACACAUAAACCAAACUCGCAUAAAUCGAGUUACCUGUAUUCACAAAACUUGCAUCUUUGCAGACUACUUUCUUCACCUUAACUUUCCCAACUCAAAAAAAAUUGCCUUGCUCUGAAUGUGGAAGUGGAACAAUUGUACAGCAUAAGAUAAGCAGUGCCUGGUUAAGGUGGCAGUCAGGAUCAUGGAAGCAAGAAGAAUAAAUGACAUCUGGGGCAAUGGGCCAGCCCACUGAUGGUUAUUGAAUCUUUGCACUACAAUACAUGAACACAAGAAUGGAAGCAAAUCUAUUAGCACUCAUGAAGGAGCUGUUGAUUACUAAGUGGGAUGUUGAAGGACUUGGAGGUGAGGAACCAAGUGCUGAAGGGGAUUCCCCCCCUAAUGUAGGUAAAACUAAACAAAAAAAAAUCUUGUGCUAAAGUUCCCCCAAACAUACUGAUUUUUUAUCGAGUUUAAUGCCUGCUCAGACAUAUGCCUUUGUUGAUUGAUGGAUUGAUCCAGUCUACACGUCCUGAACAUUAUUUUAUUAAAGGAGCUACAUCCCAUUUAGUUACUUUAUGGCAUGGAUAAGUGACUAUCUGAAGAUCAUUUCCUUCACUCAUCUAGUUCCCCAGAAGAUGACAGAGAAUUUUUUCAAGGUAAAGAAACUUAGAACAAACAGCAUCUUACACCAUCACAAUUAAUCCAGUCUACACGUCCUGAACAUUAUUUUAUUAAGGGAGCUACAUCCCAUUUAGUUACUUUAUGGCAUGGAUAAGUGACUAUCUGAAGAUCAUUUCCCUAACUCAUCUAAUUCCCCAGAAGAUGACAGAAUUUUUUCAAGGUAAAGAAACUUAGAACAAACAGCAUCUUACACCAUCACCAUCAGCAGUACAUUUUCCAUCAAGCAUGUUGUCACCUUCGGUAAGAAGGUAAAGGAAAUGAGACAACAGACAUGUAGGCUGUGUGGUGUGGUGUGCUUAAUGUUGUACAGGUGAUAAAACUGGCUGAAGGUGAAUUCUAAGGUGUUUUACAUAAAAAAUUACCUUUUAUUGUUAAAGUGCAGUGUUCUUACAUCUUUUUUUACACAUCAUACACACAAGUGCAAUGAAAAGAUGAGUAUUUGGGCACCUAAUGAUACUGUACUGUUGGCAUUCAGUUCUUGCACGGUAUUGGCUACUUCAUCUGCUCUGCAAGACAUAUGUAAAUAACAUUAUUCACAAAGACUAGGAAUUACAUGUCACUUGAAUUGAGGGUGCGUGAAACUUUAAAAAAUGACCUGAUAGUGGGGAGGGCUACGAAUGUCAGGCGAAAAAUCUUCACCUGACACUCGUAGUUCAAACCUGUUUAUUAUAUAUAUUUUUUUCAAAUGCCUGCCGAAAUUAGGGGGUGCGUCUUAUAAGCCAUCAAAUACGGUAAGUAAAUCUUCAAUGAUGAAUGAACCUCCCUCAAGUAAAGCUUCCAACAGUCCUUAUGCUUAAAUUACUCAUUCGUAUUUCAGUCCAAUGACACUACAAAUACAUCAUUAUGUUCAAAGGAGUAGUGUAGUUAAUGAAAUUGCUACUUUUAUUUUGCACUCAUGCAAACCAUUGACUAUAAAAAGUGGCUUUAGUAUUUUUUUUUUAAUACAGUUAUGCAUGACAUUCAUAUAUGUGGGAGCAAUUAAUAUUAGUCAGGUCUGUGCUGGUGAAAAAAUAAAAAAUAACUGGGAUCCUCUAACUUGAACUUUUUCAGAGAGGAAUAUCAAGACACCUCUCUAACCUAAUCUGAUAAUGCUUUGAGGGAUCUACUAUACUUUUCUUUCACUUUGUUUUGCCCUUGACCUUCCUCCUUGUAAUAGUUUAAAAACAGAUUCAAACCAAACUAUUUGCUAACAUUU